rnacentral:rRNA from 1 species
UACAGAGGUCUCGAGCGUUAGGCGGAAUCACUGGGCUUAAAGCGUGUGUAGGUGGAUCGUUAAGUACCUUGUGAAAUCCCACGGCUCAACCGUGGAACUGCUUGGUAUACUGGAUGUCUUGAGCCAUCUAGGGGCUACCGGAACAAAUGGUGGAGCGGCGAAAUGCGUAGAUAUCAUUUGGAACGCCAAUGGUGAAAACAGGUAGCUGGGGAUGUGCUGACGCUGAGACACGAAAGCCAGGGGAGCAAACGGG